GUGAGAACAAAUCAUAGAUUGUUAAUGUGGAGGAAAUGGUUACUGAGCCACAGCCAAAUUGUAUUGGUCCAACAAUAUCUUAAAACAUGGGCCCAGAUGUUGAUUUUGUGUUGCUGUUGAAAAUGUGAUAACUGUGGACCUGGGACAUGGGAGGAAAGUCCUCGUCCAGCAUCAACACUACUUGGGAUUAUGUUGAAAAGAAUAUGGUUAUAUAGGCAAGCCAAAGUUUGGGCACCCAUGGUCUGGAGGAAUGGAGAGUCCACUAACUGAGAGGAGAGAGGAAGAACUAUUCCUGAUGAUGGGCCAGGAAGCUGGGUGGAAGAAGAAAAGAGAUGAGGCUUUCCUUGAAAGACAAGAUUCCAUAAGACUUGGAUGACUUCACUUGCCAAAGACAUUUGAUAUAUCAAAUGCAGCCAUAUGUUCUAAAUAUAACAGAUUACUGCCAUGUGCAUGAGUUAAAGAACACUGUGUUGUGAGUUCACCAUACUCGUGCAGUCACUGAAAAAGUCAGAAGUUCCAGUUAAGACCUCCAAGCAGAUCUUUCCUUCAUUUGCUUUUUUUUUUUCCAUACUUCUAAAGGCUUCCCUUUUUCUUAUCUCAC